UACGGAGGGUGCAAGCGUUAAUCGGAAUUACUGGGCGUAAAGCGUGCGCAGGCGGGUUGUUAAGGCCGUUGUGAAAGCCCCGAGCUCAACUUGGGAAUUGCAGUGGAUACUGGCAGGCUGGAGUACGGUAGAGGAAGGUGGAAUUCCCGGUGUAGCAGUGAAAUGCGUAGAUAUCGGGAGGAACACCAGUGGCGAAGGCGAGUCCCUGGACAACUUCUGACGCUGAGGCACGAAAGCUAGGGGAGCAAACAGG
rnacentral:rRNA from 1 species